AGUAAAGCACAGCACAAGAUUACAUAACAUAAAUACGGCACCCAUAAGUAAUAUAAAAUAGAGGAAAGCACACAGAUUUAUAAUAAAACAUGGAACACGGACUCCUAACAAGAAAAAAACCCUACCAAGUAAUUCCCUACAUUAGCGACUCAAACUGGCCCUAGUCCUCUGCCCUAAUUCGCGUCCUCCAGACCUUCCUAUCUAGGGUCAUGUCCUCGGUGAGCUGUAACUACUCCAUGUCCCGCCUAAUCACCUCACCCCAGUACUUCUUCGGCCUACCCCUACCCCGCCUAAAACCAUCCAACGCUAGCCUCUCACACCUACGGACCGGGGCAUCCAUGCCCCUCCUCUUCACGUGUCCGAACCAUCUCAAUCGUGCUUCCCGCAUCUUACACUCCACU
rnacentral:lncRNA from 1 species